rnacentral:lncRNA from 1 species
AGAUAGUGUGUACAUCUUACAAAGAUGGGGGAUAGGAAUAGAAAUAGGGAUAACCCCUUAUCCCCUUUAUACUCAAACGCUAAUUUUUUAUUCGAGAAUAGUAAUUUUCGGUUACUGGAUAUAGCUAUCCCCACUAACAUCUUCAUUUUCUAUAUAAAAUUACCCACUAAUUUUCUUAUUUCAUAUUAUCUAUCCAAAUGUUAUUUUUCUUAUCCCCGGAACAAUCCAAUUUUCAUCAAAAUGCUAUUUUUUUUAUUCUCAUACUUGUAUCUAUUCCUGUAAUAACAAUUUCUUGUUUAUACCCGAACCAAACGAUACCUUUAGGUCUUGGGAUUUAAAAAAAUUAUACUUUCUAAUUAAGAAAAAU